UGAGAGAGUUGGGGGGUUCAGCUGGAGAAGAGAAGGCUGCGGGGAGACCUUAGAGCGGCCCCCCAGGGCUGAAAGGGGCUGCGGGAAAGGGGGGAGAGGCUCUGGAUCAGGGGGUGUGGGGACAGGAUGAGGGGUAACGGCUUUAAACUGACAGAGGGGAUUUUGAUGAAAAGAGUAAGUU